CGUGCUAGGUGGGGCGUUAGCGGUGCCCUGUACUCGCAAUCCGCUAUAGCGAGACUGAAUGCCCUGUCGAGACUGUUCGCAUGUGGCCGCUAGAGUCAGUAUUUAGAUGUUGAUAGCCUGGUCCUGCGCGGCGAGACCUCGUGAAUCCCGUCAGGACCGGAAGGUAGCAGCGGUAAGCGAAACACCUCGGGUGCCGUGGGAACGCCGGGCUAGAGUCGGUAUUGCG
rnacentral:SRP_RNA from 1 species